GUGGUGGACCAUACCACCCUGAACACGCCCGAUCUCGUCUGAUCUCGGAAGCUAAGCAAGGUCGGACCUGGUUAGUACUUGGAUGGGAGAAAUUGUGGUGGUGUGUAUG
rfam:Erinaceus europaeus unplaced genomic scaffold scaffold00634, whole genome shotgun sequence